UAGGGAAUCUUCCGCAAUGGACGCAAGUCUGACGGAGCAACGCCGCGUGAGUGAAGAAGGAUUUCGGUUCGUAAAACUCUGUUGUUAGAGAAGAACAGCGCAUAGAGUAACUGUUAUGCGUGUGACGGUAUCUAACCAGAAAGCCACGGCUAACUACGUGCCAGCAGCCGCGGUAAUACGUAGGUGGCAAGCGUUGUCCGGAUUUAUUGGGCGUAAAGCGAGCGCAGGCGGUCAAUUAAGUCUGAUGUGAAAGCCCCCGGCUCAACCGGGGAGGGUCAUUGGAAACUGGUUGACUUGAGUGCAGAAGAGGAGGGUGGAAUUCCAUGUGUAGCGGUGAAAUGCGUAGGUAUAUGGAGGAAAACCAGUGGCGAAGGCGACUCUCUGGUCUGUAACUGACGCUGAGGCUCGAAAGCGUGGGUAGCAAACAGG
rnacentral:rRNA from 1 species